UACGUAGGGUGCGAGCGUUGUCCGGAAUUACUGGGCGUAAAGAGCUCGUAGGUGGUUUGUCGCGUUGUUCGUGAAAUCUCACGGCUUAACUGUGAGCGUGCGGGCGAUACGGGCAGACUGGAGUACUGCAGGGGAGAUUGGAAUUCCUGGUGUAGCGGUGGAAUGCGCAGAUAUCAGGAGGAACACCGGUGGCGAAGGCGGGUCUCUGGGCAGUAACUGACGCUGAGGAGCGAAAGCGUGGGGAGCGAACAGG
rnacentral:rRNA from 1 species